GACGGAGGAUGCAAGUGUUAUCCGGAAUCACUGGGCGUAAAGCGUCUGUAGGUGGUUUAAUAAGUCAACUGUUAAAUCUUGAGGCUCAACCUCAAAAUCGCAGUCGAAACUAUUAGGCUAGAGUAUAGUAGGGGUAAAGGGAAUUUCCAGUGGAGCGGUGAAAUGCGUAGAGAUUGGAAAGAACACCGAUGGCGAAGGCAGCCUCCUGGGCCGAUACUGAGGCUGAGGAGCGAAAGCGUGGGGAGCGAACAGG
rnacentral:rRNA from 1 species